UACGUAGGGUGCGAGCGUUGUCCGGAAUUAUUAGGCGUAAAGGGCAGGCAGGCGGAUCCAUAAGUUUAUCGUUUAAGGCGUCGGCUUAACCGGCGUAGGGCGGUAGAUACUGUGGAUCUGGAAUGCGGUUGGGGAAGACAGAAUUCCUGGUGUAGCGGUGGAAUGCGCAGAGAUCAGGAGGAAUACCGAAGGCGAAGGCAGUCUUCCAAGCCGUUAUUGACGCUCAACUGCGAAGGUGUGGGUAUCAAACAGGAUUAGAUACCCCGGUAGUCCCUGAG
rnacentral:rRNA from 1 species